rnacentral:rRNA from 1 species
AUUGAACGCUGGCGGCAGGCCUAACACAUGCAAGUCGAGCGGAGCGGCGGACGGGUGAGUAAUGCCUAGGAAUCUGCCUGGUAGUGGGGGAUAACGUCCGGAAACGGGCGCUAAUACCGCAUACUAUCAGAUUAGCCUAGGUCGGAUUAGCUAGUUGGUGGGGUUAAGGCCUUCCAAGGCGACGAUCCGUAACUGGUCUGAGUGGAUGAUCAGUCACACGGGAAGUGAGACACGUACCAGACUACUACGGGAGGCAGGAGUGGAGAAUAUGGGACAAUGGGCGAAAGCCUGAACCAGCCAUGCCGCGUGUGUGAAGAAGGUCGUCGGUUUGUAAAGCACUUUAAGUUGGGAGGCGUUACCGACAGAAUAAGCACCGGCUAACUUCGUGCCAGCAGCCGCGGUAAUAC